rnacentral:lncRNA from 1 species
UUAAACUAUAAUCACUAAUCCAGAAUCCCUAAAUCCAUACUCUCUAAACCUUAAAAUAUGAACUCCUAAACCAACCUUAAAUCUUAAAUAAAUCAUAUACCCUAAACAAAAAACCCUAAACAAAUUUAUUAUUAUCUCUUUUACAAUUAUAUAAGAAAAUAUUUAAAAUAUAAAUUCAAAAAAUUAAUCUACACGCCCAAAAUCCUAACUCAAGCCCUAAAUCCCUAAACCCUAAAUCCCUAACUCUUAAUC